GUGGAUGUGAACUGCGGUCAGGCACCAGA
rnacentral:piRNA from 1 species